rnacentral:snRNA from 1 species
GCUUCUCGGCCUUUUGACUAAGAUCAAGUG